rnacentral:lncRNA from 1 species
CAAAGUAAGAUUUACAAAUAAGUCAACAUGACCGAAAUGGUCAAUUGACCCCCUAAGGAGUUAUUGUCCUUUAUAGUCAAUUUUUAACAAUUUUCAUAAAAUUUGUAGAUUUUUACUAACAUUUUCCACUGAAACUACUUGGCCAAGUUCACUAUAAAUAGAGAUAAUUGUAAGCAGCAAGAAUGUUCAGUAAAGUAAGAUGUACAAACACAUCACCAUCACCAAAACACAAUUUUGUCAUGAAUCCAUCUGCUUCCUUUGUUUAAUAUUCACACAGACCAAGGUGAGCGACACAGGCUCUUCAGAGCCUCUAGUUUA